GAUAGCUCAGUUGGCAGAGCUUGAGACACUUAAUCUCAGGGCCAUGGGUUUGAGAAGAUUCCUGCAUUGCG